UGUAGGAGCUGCCGAAGGCUGCGAUCUUUUGAUCUUGAUCUUGAACAACAGGAUCAAAAGAUCGCAGCCUUCGGCAGCUCCUACA
rnacentral:antisense_RNA from 1 species